GAAAUGCGAUAAGUAGUGUGAAUUGCAGAAUUCAGUGAAUCAUCGAAUCUUUGAACGCACAUUGCGCCCUUUGGUAUUCCUUAGGGCAUGCCUGUUCGAGCGUCAUCUACACCUUCAAGCACUGCUUGGUGUUGGGUGCCUGUCCCGCCCCGCGCGUGGACUCACCUCAAAUCCAUUGGCGGCCCCCACGUCGGCUCCGAGCGCAGCAGAAACGCGAACUCGUGGGCCCGGCGGGGUGGCUCCCAGAAGCUACAUCAACCAUUUUGACCUCGGAUCAAGCAGGAUCACCCGCUGAACUUAA
rnacentral:misc_RNA from 1 species